AUUUGAGUCCCAAAUAGGACGAAACGCGCGUCGUGGAU
rnacentral:hammerhead_ribozyme from 1 species